UACGUAGGUGGCAAGCGUUGUCCGGAUUUACUGGGCGUAAAGAGCGCGCAGGCGGUCGUUCAAGUCGCGUGUGAAAGCCCCCGGCUCAACUGGGGAGGGUCACGCGAUACAGAUCGACUCGAAGGCAGGAGAGGGAAGUGGAAUUCCCGGUGUAGUGGUGAAAUGCGUAGAUAUCGGGAGGAACACCAGUGGCGAAGGCGACUUCCUGGCCUGUUCUUGACGCUGAGGCGCGAAAGCUAGGGGAGCAAACGGG
rnacentral:rRNA from 1 species